rnacentral:rRNA from 1 species
UACAGAGGUCUCGAGCGUUAGGCGGAAUCACUGGGCUUAAAGCGUGUGUAGGCGGAUCGUUAAGUACCUUGUGAAAUCCCACGGCUUAACCGUGGAACUGCUUGGUAUACUGGCGGUCUUGAGCCAGCUAGGGGCUACCGGAACAAAUGGUGGAGCGGUGAAAUGCGUAGAUAUCAUUUGGAACGCCAGUGGUGAAAACAGGUAGCUGGGGCUGUGCUGACGCUGAGACACGAAAGCCAGGGGAGCAAACGGG